rnacentral:rRNA from 1 species
UACCAGCACCCCGAGUGGUCGGGACGUUUAUUGGGCCUAAAGCAUCCGUAGCCGGUUCUACAAGUCUUCCGUUAAAUCCACCUGCUUAACAGAUGGGCUGCGGAAGAUACUAUGGAGCUAGGAGGCGGGAGAGGCAAGCGGUACUCGAUGGGUAGGGGUAAAAUCUGUUGAUCCAUUGAAGACCACCAGUGGCGAAGGCGGCUUGCCAGAACGCGCUCGACGGUGAGGGAUGAAAGCUGGGGGAGCAAACCGG